rnacentral:rRNA from 1 species
GACAGAGGUUGCAAACGUUGUUCGGAAUCACUGGGCAUAAAGCGCACGUAGGCGGUCUGUUAAGUCAGGUGUGAAAGCCCCCGGCUCAACCGGGGAAUUGCAUUUGAUACUGGCAGGCUCGAGAACGGUAGGGGUGAGUGGAACUCCAGGUGGAGCGGUGAAAUGCGUAGAUAUCUGGAGGAACACCGGUGGCGAAAGCGGCGUCCUGGACCAACACUGACACUGAGGAGCGAAAGCCAGGGGAGCAAACGGG